UGAAUGGUCUGGCCCAGAGCCAGGGAUCAUCACUAUGCUUUCCAGACCUGUUUUCCUUCCUGGACCUAUGCCAAAGGCUUAAACAUGUCUGUCUGUCUGUUUUAAGGACAUGGAGAUACAGGUCUUCUGCUCAGGCCGGUGUAAGGCUUACCAUCAUUUCCCAUGGGGCGGCUGUCUGGGCAGCGGAGACCAAGGUCUCUGUCCAGCCGUUAACGGAGGAAGUUGUUGGGAGGAAGGGCUCAGAGCCAGGAGGCAGAACUACACAGCAUUCCUAAUUUAGUUGCCAUUUAUCACUAAGAGAGAGAGGCCCUGGUUCCCAAACUGUGUGCCAGGGCACCCUGGAGCAGUGGAAGAAAUGUAUGGAGUAUUGUGGGAUUAUUUUCAUUUUUAAGGGAAACACUGCGAUAUUGGCUGGACACUGUGCAAAGGACUACUGUUCCGUUGUCUAGAUAUGUAAUCAACAGAUUGGUGAGGUAUUUCUUUUGGCCUAGGGGCACCAAGGGAAAAAAGCAGUAAGGGAACAAUGUAGGUCCUUUAGAGCCAGGGGUUUGAGGUGUGUGAGGAUAGAGGGGGAGCAGGAACGGGAGAAAGAAGAGAAGAAAGUGUGGAUUUGGACAUCUGGGGCUUGGGUGCGAAUGACUAACUUACUUACGAGGCUUCCUGGGUGGUUGGGAGGCCCUAAUCUCCACGGUGCUGGCUCACAACCAGAGAUUACGUCUUCCAUUUCCUCCCACGUGGGAGCCUGGCCCUCCUGCCCCUGGGUGGGCACAGGGCCCUGCACCCCCAGACCAGGUGUUUUACAUCUUUCUUCUCCCCCCAGGAUUCCUUCAUCCCCAAAACAUUUCUUGGCUACAGCUGCAUGAGGAGAUGGCAGUGAGAAGAACAGAUUAACAAAAACAAAGAAAACCCUGAUGUCUUGAAGCUUACAUUUUUCUGGAAAAAUGUCUAAUAAGAUAUUCUGGGUGCUUACUAUGAGCCAGGCAUUGUACUAAAAGCUUUUUGUCAAUUAGCUCAUUUAAUCCUGACAACACUCCUUCUGGAAGCAUAAUCCCUGCUGCCAUUUACAUGCGUCUGGUGUCAUGGUGAUGCUCCAACCACCUCGCUGCUCCUAGUUUUCGAUGGAAUCCUGGGCACCCAGGUGCCUGCUGAGCAAGGUGGCAUCAUUUAGAGUGUGAUGUGGCCCCAUUGGUCUGUCUACCCAUUUCACUACAGUGCUCUCCUGUGGUCCUGCGAGCUGCUCUGUAUGAUCUCACAGCAAACCACACACUUGACUUUGCCUAAAAACAGUUUGUCCUCAUCUCCACGUGUGAGAUUUACACUUCAGGUGUAACAGAAGCUACAUGAGCAAAAUGUUCAGCUUUACGAUGGCCACGUCCCCCUAGGCACAUGUUAAUGUGCCUUCUAGGACUUCCUAUAAAUACAACAUGGUGUAUUUAGGUGGAUGUCAACCUGACAGUGCCACCCAAGCCACUUCUGGAGUUCCCUGGUGGCCUAGCAGUUAAGGAUCUGGCAUUGUCAUUCCUGUGUGCAGGUUCGAUCCUUGGCCCAGGAACUUCCAUGUGUCAUGGGCAUGGUCAAAACAAAACAAACAAACAAAAAACCCAGACAAACACAAAUAAAGAUGUUGAACAAUUGAUGGUUGUAUCAAAUGACAUUUCCACGAAAUGAGGAAGUUCAUGCUGUUAUCUUCUUUCUUAGAAUAUUUUCCUUGUUCAUCACAGAAAGUAUAGAAAAUUAUAUACAAGUAGCUAUAAUCAGAUCAUCCAAAGAAAAUGAUUCUCUACUUUGUGGCAUAUUUUUCUCUUACUCUUUUUCCAGGGCACUGAGGAUCUUGGUUGGGCACAGUCACUGGGUGCCAAGGACACCUGAACACUGACAACAGACGCCAAAGGGGAGUCAGCCCCUCCUUAAGCAGAGUCUGCUGCCUCUUUGGUCCUACUGGGGUGGCUUUGAUUUCCCACGUGAACAUGUGCUCAUGACACAUCUGCAUGUCCAUCACAGACACAUGUGUCCUGAGAUGGUCGGAAAACACGGUUUUCUCUCGACUGUCAACAUUGUCAGGGACCUGCCCAAAAGUCUGCACACUGCUUGUAUCGUACAGGGGUCUUUGCCAGAUGCUUUGGGGGUUCCAGAAAGGAGCCAGAUAGUCCACGACCACAGGGAGUUCACAGCCCAGAGUGGGGUGGCAAUGGCUGAUGCAUCCUAAGGAACGAGCGGAGUCAUUUGGGAAGUUUUUUUUUUAAGAAAAACUGUGUGUGUGCAGAGUUCCUGUUGUGACACAGUGGUAAUGAACCCGACUAGUAACGAUAAGGACAUGGGUUCAAUCCUUGGCCUCACUCAGUGGGUUAAGGAUCAGGCGUUGCCAUGAGCUGUAGUGUAGGUCACAGAUGUGGCUUGGAUCUGGCGUUGCUGUGGUUGUGGUGUAGGCUGAUGGCUACAGCUCUGAUUC
rnacentral:lncRNA from 1 species